CAGUCGAACGAAGCACCUUUUGAGAUUCUUCGGAUGAUCGAUCGGUGACUGAGUGGCGGACGGGUGAGUAACGCGUGGGUAACCUGCCCUGUACAGGGGGAUAACAGUUGGAAACGGCUGCUAAUACCGCAUAAGCGCACGAGGAGACAUCUCUUUGUGUGAAAAACUCCGGUGGUACAGGAUGGGCCCGCGUCUGAUUAGCUGGUUGGCAGGGUAACGGCCUACCAAGGCAACGAUCAGUAGCCGGUCUGAGAGGAUGAACGGCCACAUUGGAACUGAGACACGGUCCAAACUCCUACGGGAGGCAGCAGUGGGGGAUAUUGCACAAUGGGGGAAACCCUGAUGCAGCAACGCCGCGUGAGUGAAGAAGUAUUUCGGUAUGUAAAGCUCUAUCAGCAGGGAAGAUAAUGACGGUACCUGACUAAGAAGCUCCGGCUAAAUACGUGCCAGCAGCCGCGGUAAUACGUAUGGAGCAAGCGUUAUCCGGAUUUACUGGGUGUAAAGGGUGCGUAGGUGGCAGUGCAAGUCAGAUGUGAAAGGCCGGGGCUCAACCCCGGAGCUGCAUUUGAAACUGCAUAGCUAGAGUACAGGAGAGGCAGGCGGAAUUCCUAGUGUAGCGGUGAAAUGCGUAGAUAUUAGGAGGAACACCAGUGGCGAAGGCGGCCUGCUGGACUGUUACUGACACUGAGGCACGAAAGCGUGGGGAGCAAACAGGAUUAGAUACCCUGGUAGUCCACGCCGUANACGAUGAAUACUA
rnacentral:rRNA from 1 species